UACGUAGGGGCCAAGCGUUGUCCGGAAUCAUUGGGCGUAAAGGGCAUGUAGGUGGUCUUGUAAGUCAGAUGUUAAAUCUAUCCGCUCAACGGGUAGCUGCAUCUGAUACUGCUCGACUUGAGAAUGGUAGAGGAAAGCGGAACUACCGGUGUAGCGGUGAAAUGCGUAGAUAUCGGUAGGAACACCAGUGGCGAAGGCGGCUUUCUGGGCCAUUUCUGACACUGAGAUGCGAAAGCCAGGGGAGC
rnacentral:rRNA from 1 species